AAAACCAAAAAAGUACCUGCUACCUUUGCAUAUACCCAAUCAUAUAUCGGAGAAUUCGACUGACCUCAAAGAUUUAAAUGCUUCAGCACCUCAGCGCCGCUAGGCUCACAACCUACAAUCUAGUGAUAAGUGUAACACCUCAAAAUUUGCCCUCUUCUCUUGGGACUAGCAUAACAUAUUUGCAUAUCAUUUUAGGUCAUUAGGCAUUGCAUAUUGC
rnacentral:lncRNA from 1 species